GAUUAACGCUAGCGGCAGGCCUAAUACAUGCAAGUCGGAACGGGAUUUCGGGUAGCAAUAUCUGAAUGAGAGUGGCGCACGGGUGCGUAACACGUAGUGCAAUCUACCUCUGACUGGGGAAUAGCCUUCCGAAAGGAAGAUUAAUACCGCAUAAAAUAAUGAAGUGGCAUCACUUUAUUAUCAAAACUCUGGUGGUCAGAGAUGAGCAUGCGUCCGAUAGCUAGUUGGCGGGGUAACGGCCCACCAAGGCGACGAUCGGUAGGGGUCUGAGAGGAUGAUCCCCCANACUGGUACUGAGACACGGACCAGACUCCUACGGGAGGCAGCAGUAAGGAAUAUUGGACAAUGGUGGAAACACUGAUCCAGCCAU
rnacentral:rRNA from 1 species